ensembl:lncRNA
GUUGUAGUAGGCGUCUUGCGGGGGCACGGGAUGUACGGGACAGGCCUCUCCCUAAACAUAGAGAGAUAGUGCUAUCGUGCUGACCUUGUUGCAGAGAAAACAGGAGAAGAAGAAGGAUGAUAAAAGAAUAUGGAAACGGCCAAAUAAGGCACAAUGUUAUCUGGUGUGAACUAAUCAGAGUGGGACAUGACAGCACGGUUAUCUAGGUAAAAAUGUAUAUAAGCUGUGUUUAGUAGUGAAUAAACGCCAUUUGCCUCACUUACUCCUGGGGUCUGGGUGAGCAUCUGGCCCCGACCUGGUAAAGGGUCGGUUUCGCCCAGCAGUAAGCCCUACAUGUGGACAGAGGACGAACACCGGACGAGCGAACGGAGACUACAUGCAACAAGUGGUGACCCCGACGUGAUCUGUCUGCUGAGGGUGGCUGCCCGGCGUGCCCGUGACGCGGAGAAGAGCCUGUGAGGUGGCGGCAGGUCGCAUGCGUAACAAUGGACCAAGUCAUUAAGGUACUUGUGCAGUUUUGUAAGGACUACUUUGGAAAAUGUGCUUCUUCCCGGAAGGAGAUCGCGGCAGUUUUGUCGCUGUUAAAUGAGCUGGGGGAGCUGGACUCUCCCCGCUACGUUUUGGAUUCGAGUAGGUGGGACUUGCUCACCUCGGUGCUAUGCCAGCGCGCCAUGGCCAGUCAGAAGGCUACGGAACUUAAAACGUGGGGACUGAUAUUAGGAGCCCUUAAAGCGGCCAGAAUUGAGGGAAAGGUAUUGGUGGAGGCUCGAUACCUUUUGGGUCUCAGCGGAGGAGGUGAGACACAGGACCCGGUCGGGUCCGAUGGGGGUUCGGGAGCAGUUUCUUGCAGGGGCCGAGAGGAGACGGAGCCGCCAAUGACCGUUAGCGGGAUGGCGCCGGCUGAGCCGACCGCGCUCAGUUCAAAAGAAGACAAACAACAAGAGAGUGAAAGUUCGUUGUCUCGUCCCCCUCUCCCGUAUCCACACCCCUCAGGCGGAACGUUGUAUCCUUUAUCAGAAUUACGUCAGUGUUACCUGAUUCAAGGGGGCGGAGGAAGCUGUGAUCUACACGUGCAGGAUCAACUUAGUGCCCACAUGGGGAGGGACCAGACAAAAGGUCCGUCCAAUGCGGACAGGGGGCAUAGCCUACCGUCUCUGGUCACUCCCAGGGGCGGUAGUGCGAGUGAUAGUGUAGAAGAGAAAGAAGGGACUGGCUUUGAGUGCAGGGGGAGGGAUCAAAUGACGGACUGGAAUGGGAUUAGAUCGGAGGCUUUGGGAAAGGGUAUAGUUCCAGAGGCAUUCCGGGUGAUUGUGAGUGAUCGUGGUCCCGAAUGGGUGCUGCCUGACCCCGGGGGUGUUACGCUCCUGGUGGAAUUUAUGGAUAAAAGAGGCCUGAAAUCGCCUCUGACAUUAAAUGCACUACAAACUUUGGCUGCACUGGGGCCUCUCUUCCCCCGUGACAUCACAAACUUAAUGCGUACGGUGCUCAGGCUGGUUCAAUAUACGUUAUGGGAGACGGACUGGGUGGCCGAGUUGGGGGGCCGUGCCGGGGCGACAGGGGUCGGCCCGCGCCGCUCCCUGCAUGGGACCGGAAUACAGCGGCUUUCAGGGAAGGCCGUGGGAGUGGCUUCGCCCCAGGGCCAGCUAGCGAGACUAAGGUCAGGGGAGCUAAUAGCAGCCACAGAUGCAGUGGUGGAAGCGUUUAAUAAACUUGUGCAUAAGGCCGAACCACCUACUCCGUGCACAGAUAUUACCCAGGGCCCGAAUGAAUCCUUUCAAAGCUUUACAGACAGGCUUUUAGCUGCUGCAGAGGGGUCUGAUCUCCUGGUACCGGCCCAAGGGCCAGUGAUCAUUGACUGCUUGCAGCAGAAAUCGCAUGACAAUGUUAAGGCAUUGCUGCGAGCCGGCCGAAGUACGCUUAAUACCUCGGGAGAAGUUAUUCAGUAUGUCUUAGAUAAGCUCAAGGUGGCUCAUUUAACUAAUGAAAGGCUAGUCACAGCUAUUGUCGUAGCUGUUGGCCUGCGACAGCAAAGAUCGCUGCAGCAGCAAGGGCUGUGUUUCCGAUACGGCCAGUAUGGCCAUGUUAGAGCACAAUGCCCCUGUGGGGGAGGCCAGUCAGGGCCUCCUGAUCACAGGAAGGGCUUGCUAAAGGGUAUCCAUGGUCGGGUAUGUGGCAGUUAAACAUCAUGAAUCUGGGAAAUUCUGUGGGUACCAUCGCGAAAAGUAAUACCAGAUAUAAGUAGCAUAUCUGCAAAAACUGAGUCUAGGUGCGAGUUUUCUACAGAAAUUCUUCGUUGGCAGACCGAAGCCAACUCCAGAACAACUGAGGGACAGACGAUGGGAUCAAGAACCACUUGUCAAGAGGAGCACUACACCUGCAACGCUGACACUUCCGAUGUUGCUGAUAUUUAUGGUGUCCAUGGCGAUUACAGAGUGUCACAAACAACUACAAUGGACACAAGAACAUAUGCAGAAAAUUAAAGAAGAGCGUGAUCCCUUUGGAAGCUGGCUGGACGGACUGUUUGGGGGAACGGGUUCAUGGUUAAAGCAAUUGCUUAAAGCUCUCGCAGUAGGAUUUGCAAUCUUUGUGUGUAUUCUAAUCUGUCUUCCAUGCUUUGUAGGAUGCUUGCAGAACUGCCUUCAACGAAUGAUGGACAAGACUUUUGACUAUCACAUUGAGUAUCAUAGAUUGCGUGAAAAAUUAUAGAGGGGUUUAGGUUGUUGCGUUCGUGCUGUAACGGGGCAAGGCUUGGCCGAGCACGGAAAAGAAUUCCCUGUUGCUCUGAUGAUUGCUUAAGAACUGUAGUAGAAAAAUAGUAGGAAUAGUGUGCUGAAAUAUAUUUAGGAUUAGGCGUUUUGCGCUGCUUCGCGAUGUACGGGUUAGGUGUGUGUGUAAGUAGUAUUUAGCUUAGGGAGGGGGAGAUGUUGUAGUAGGCGUCUUGCGGGGGCACGGGAUGUACGGGACAGGCCUCUCCCUAAACAUAGAGAGAUAGUGCUAUCGUGCUGACCUUGUUGCAGAGAAAACAGGAGAAGAAGAAGGAUGAUAAAAGAAUAUGGAAACGGCCAAAUAAGGCACAAUGUUAUCUGGUGUGAACUAAUCAGAGUGGGACAUGACAGCACGGUUAUCUAGGUAAAAAUGUAUAUAAGCUGUGUUUAGUAGUGAAUAAACGCCAUUUGCCUCACUUACUCCUGGGGUCUGGGUGAGCAUCUGGCCCCGACCUGGUAAAGGGUCGGUUUCGCCCAGCAGUAAGCCCUACAUGUGGACAGAGGACGAACACCGGACGAGCGAACGGAGACUACAUGCAACAGUUA